rnacentral:misc_RNA from 1 species
CUCAGUUUAAGUUCUCCAAGAAUCAACGCCCAUUUGGUUCUGUCUCUUUUUUCACUCUAGCUUUCUUGAACAAAUCCACUAAAACAGAGGAGCCUAAAGAGAUCUUUGACAAGCUUCUUUUCUGUUUUCUCGUCUUUCUUGCUGCAGCAGUUUUUGUUAUGGCUAAUACUCUUGCUCAUAGUGCAAGUGCACCACCUCAGUUUUACUUUGAUGAGAAGUGGAAGCUUUCAAAGAAAGAAGGGUCAUCAAGAAGCAGCCGAUCUUCAUCUUCUCCUCUCAUGAAGAAUUCAUCUCAGAGAAGGUGUUCUUUUACAAGAAAAUGUGCAAGAUUGGUUAAAGAACAGAGAGCCAGAUUCUACAUCAUGAGGAGGUGUGUUACCAUGCUCAUUUGCUGGAGAGAUUAUAGUGA